rnacentral:rRNA from 1 species
AUGGCAGCGGGUGGAGCUAUUACAAACAAGACACUUGAUGAAGCUUUUCUGCUGAUUGAGAGCAUAGCUUUCCACCAACUUCAGUGGUACAAUAAGAAGCCCACAUCUGAUUCAUUGGUUUGCUUGCAACAAAUCACUACACCUCAACCACCAAUUCUUACACAAAAGCAUGAGCCUCUAUUUCAGUGUGACAAGGUUGAGCUUGCAUGGAUUAUAUUUGACGAUGAUGACACCAUUCUAGUUGACACACACGCUACAGAUCAUCUGGUACUAGUGUUGGAGAUUCAGUUUUGCAUUGUGAUGAGGGAUGAGCCAGAGCUGCAGUUCGUUGCUUUUGAUAUUGAGGAGUCACCUUUAGUUGAUAUUGAUCAUGUGCUGCUAGAGCCAGAUAUGGAGAAGUUCGCCUUUGAUGAUGUUAGCUGCAUUGAUUCUUCAACACUUGAGCCUGAGAUGGAGAGCUUCAUGGUUGAUUAUGGUGAGGUGGAUUCAGAUGUCAAGGAGUCAAGCUCUAUUUCACUUGUUGACACGAAUCCGAUGGAAAUUUCUACUACCACACCUCACUUGGUAUCUUCAAUGGAGGUAGUCCUGAAGCUUCUUCCUAACUAUCUCAGGUAUGAUCUCAGCUUUCUCAACAAGAUAUGCCAUAUCAUGGAUACUGCCUAUGCACCAUGUGACUUGUUGUUGAUACAUGUUCCUGACUUGCUCAAUAGAUAUACUUAUAUGAUAGGGUACUCUAUCGAUGACUUAGAGGGCAUUCUCUUUGUCACUUGUAUUGGCUUGGUUGUUGAGUGUUCUUUCAGGUUGAUGCUUGUGUACCAUUUACUGCGAGUUUACCGAGUUCGAGAUGACAUUCCCUGGGAUCCUGGUGGACUCAGAGCAUGGGGAUGA